rnacentral:misc_RNA from 1 species
GUUUUCAUCCAUGGUCCAGAGUCAUCCACACCACAGAACCACACUCUUAUCUAGCUAACUUGUACCAGAAUCAGUCCUGGAAUCGGCUCAGUGUCAAUCGCCAUAGCCAAUACCUUCUUCGACCUGCGCAAUUGCUCGAUGAGGAAAAUGUUUAGGUGUGUGUAAGCCCCAUUUGUUCACCUUUAAGCUUGUUUAUUUUCUCAUUGGAAAUUAAAAAAACAAUUAUUAUGCAAAAGAACAACCCCUCUCUGAUUUCUUGAGGAUCUUUUGUUAUGCUUGUCCUUCAGCUCCUGAUAAACCUUUAAUGGCUGUUUUAGUUAUUUGCUCUCCAAGCAUGUGUUGUAGCCCUGUCAAUUACAACUAUGCUUUCACUCAAGAUUAUUGGUUACCUGCUUUAGUUGAUAAUAACGGGUCAUUCGAAGGUAGGAAAGAUGGAAAUUUGAAAUUCUUGACUUUUGGUUCUAUUGGCAAUUGGAAGAAACCCAGGAAAAAGAAAGUGGGUUUUUGUGGGGUUGCAAUGAAUGGUGAUCGUGAGUUGUUGGUAGUGAAGAGGAAGCCAAAAAAUGCCUUAUCAUCUGAGGAUGUUAUAGCCGUUCUUAACUCGAUUUUGGACCCAAGUGAUGCUUUAGCAUACUUUAAAACAGUUGCUGAGUUGCCCUUUGUUGUUCACACCACUGAAACAUGUAAUCACAUGCUUGAAAUUUUGAGGAUUCAUAAGAGGGUGGAGGAUAUGGCUAUUGUGUUUCAGUUGAUGCAAAAGCAAAUUAUAAGGAGGGAUCUGAACACUUAUUUGACUCUGUUCAAGGGGCUUUAUAUUAGAGGGGGGCUUAGGCAAGCUCCAUUGGCACUUGAAAGGAUGAGGGAAGCUGGGUUUUUGUUGAAUGCUUAUUCAUAUAAUGGGUUGAUCCAUUUGCUACUUCAGUCUGGGUUUUGUAGGGAGGCUUUGGAGGUAUAUAGAAGAAUGGUCUCAGAAGGUCUUAAGCCUAGUCUCAAGACUUACUCUGCCCUAAUGGUAGCAACAGGGAAGAGAAGGGAUAUCAAAACCGUCAUGGGAUUGUUGGAAGAGAUGGAAAGUUUGGGGUUGACGCCAAAUAUCUACACAUACACCAUAUGCAUUAGAGUACUUGGGAGAGCUGGGGAAAUUGACGAGGCAUAUAGGAUACUGAAGAGAAUGGAAGAUGAUGGAUGUGGUCCUGAUGUCAUUACUUAUACAGUUCUCAUUGAUGCUCUUUGUAGUGCAGGAAAACUCAACAAUGCAAUGGAAUUGUUUGUAAAGAUGAAAGCUAGCAAUCACAAACCUGAUAGGGUAACCUAUAUUACCCUGUUGGACAAGUUCAGUGAUUCAGGUGACUUGGAUACUGUGAAAGAAUUUUGGAGUGAAAUGGAAGCCGAUGGUUAUGUCCCUGAUGUGGUUGCUUUUACUAUACUUGUUAAUGCAUUAUGCAAAGUUGGGAAUAUUGAUGAAGCAUAUGAUCUGUUGGAUGUCAUGAGAAACCAAGGGGUGUCGCCAAACCUUCAUACUUACAAUACAUUGAUUUGUGGACUUUUGAGGGCAAGUAAGUUGGAUGAUGCUAUAGACCUUUUCAACAACAUGGAAUCUCUGGGUGUUGAGCCUACUGCUUAUACUUACAUCCUUUUCAUUGACUACUAUGGAAAGUCUGGCCUCACUGACAAAGCUCUUGAGACCUUUGAAAUGAUGAGAACUAGGGGAAUUGCUCCUAAUAUUGUUGCUUGCAAUGCAUCUUUAUAUAGUCUUGCUGAAAUGGGUAGACUUGGAGAAGCGAAGGCUAUUUUUAAUGGUCUUAAAAGUAAUGGGCUUGCUCCAGAUUCGGUGACCUAUAACAUGAUGAUGAAGUGCUAUAGCAAGGCUGGGAAAGUGGAUGAAGCCAUUAAGUUACUAUCCGAUAUGUCAAAAUGUCAGUGUGAACCUGAUGUAAUUGUAAUUAAUUCUUUGAUCAACACUCUUUACAAGGCUGGCCGAAUGGAUGAGGCAUGGCAAAUGUUUUGCAGAUUGAAGGACAUGAAGCUUGCUCCUACAGUUGUGACUUACAACACAUUAAUAGCUGGAUUAGGGAAAGAGGGCCAAGUCCAAAGAGCCAUUGAAAUAUUUGAAAGUAUGACUCUGAAUGGGUGUCCUCCAAACACAGUAACUUUUAAUACGCUCCUGGAUUGCCUUUGCAAGAAUGAUGAGGUUGAGUUGGCUUUGAAGAUGCUUUAUAAAAUGACAACAAUGAAUUGUACACCUGAUGUUCUGACUUUCAACACUGUCAUUCAUGGGUUCAUUAAAGAAAAGCAAGUUAUGGUUGCAAUCUGGCUCUUCCAUCAGAUGAAGAAACUCCUUACCCCUGAUUGCGUAACUUUAUGCACCCUUCUUCCCGGUGUUGUAAAGAAUGGGUUGAUAGAUGAAGCCUUCAAGAUUGUUGAUGAAUUUGUUCAUCGGGUUGGAUUUAACAUAAACAGGCCGUUUUGGGAAGAUCUAAUGGGUGGAAUUUUGACUCAAGCUGGAACAGAAAAAGCCAUUUUAUUUGGUGAAAGAUUGGUAUGCAAUAGGAUUUGCCAGGAUGACUCUGUGUUGAUGCCUAUAAUUAAGGUUUUGUGUAAGCAUAGCAAAGCCACUGUUGCACAUAACGUAUUUGUGAAGUUUACUAAGGAACUGGGAGUUAACCCAACACUUGAAGCAUACAACUGUUUGAUUGAUGGGCUUCUUGAACUCCAGAGUGCUGAAAUGGCUUGGAAUCUAUUCAUGGGGAUGAAGAGUGCUGGUUGUGCUCCCGAUGUUUUCACCUACAACUUGUUACUUGAUACUCAUGGGAAGUCUGGGAAGAUCAAUGAACUUUUUGAAUUGUAUGAAGAGAUGCUUUGUAAUGGAUGCAAGCCCAACACCAUAACUCACAAUAUAGUAAUUGCCAAUCUUGUGAAAUCUAAUUGCUUGGACAAGGCGUUGGAUUUAUACUAUCAUCUUGUAAGUGAUGAUUUCUCUCCCACUCCUUGUACCUAUGGUCCUCUUUUAGAUGGACUUCUUAAGUCAGGUAGACUGGAGAAAGCAAAAGAGUUGUUUGAGGAAAUGGAAGACUAUGGAUGCAGGCCUAAUAGUGCUAUCUACAAUAUCCUUAUAAAUGGAUAUGGGAAAACUGGUGAAGUGGAUACUGCUUGUGAAUUGUUUAAAAGGAUGGUUAGAGAAGGAAUAAGACCAGACUUAAAGUCUUACACUAGUCUUGUCGGUUGCCUAUGUAUGGUGGGGAGGGUAGAUGAUGCUCUACAUUACUUUGAGCAACUAAAGCAGACUGGGCUAGAUCUUGAUUCAAUUGCUUAUAACCUCAUUAUUGAUGGGCUUGGAAGAUCACAUAGAAUGGAAGAGGCUCUCUUUCUUUUUGGUGAAAUGCAGAAGAGAGGUAUCAAGCCUGAUCUUUACACUUAUAAUUCCUUAAUACUGAAUCUUGGGAUCGUUGGGAUGGUAGAGCAAGCAGGAAAGCUGUACGGAGAGCUACAAUAUAUAGGUCUUGAACCGAAUGUGUUCACCUACAAUGCUCUUAUUCGUGGAUACAGCAUGUCAGGAAACUUUGAUCUUGCCUAUUCAGUCUACAAGAGGAUGAGGAUUGGGGGUUGCAGUCCUAACACGGGUACAUUUGCUCAGCUUCCUAAUCAAUCCUGACAUUUAGGGGAAACUGAGCUAGCCACUAAUUAAAAUAAUAUGCGGAUCCCCCUGCUUGGUAUUUACUAGAGCAAUGAAGUCCAGUGAAGUCCAACGGCUGUAGAUUCAAGGCCAGAAAGCAUAGUGGAUUGAGCCUAAAGGAACCAGACUUGUGAGUUGAGCUAAAAUGAGCCAAACUCAGUGGGACCCACGAGCUAAUCAAGGAGAGCUAGAUGCUAAGGAGGACAAAGUCUAGAGGAGCCAAACCCAAGUAAAUGGGCUACCCCAUACAAUGGCAACUGACAUUUGGGCAUGUGAGCCUGGGCCUAAACCCAAUUGCAUUUAAAAGGGAGUGUUGAAAUAUGACUUGAGGUAUGCAAGUCCCAAAUUGGCAAUGCAUAAAAAUAUGAAGGGCUUAUUGUUGGGAAAUUUAAGAUUUUUUUAGAAGAUUACUAUAAUUAAUAAUUGAGAUAAGAUAAGUUAGAUUCAUAAACCUAGGGAAAUGAAAGGUUUAGUACAUAAAUUAAGAUGAUUAGAUAAUGAUUCAUGUAUCUAGGGUUGUGUGCAAGAUAUUUAUUAUAGGACGUAGAUGCGAUAUAGGCUAUAUAUAUAUAUAUAUGUACCUAAACUAUUGCAUUAUGUAUGGAAAGGGAGUGGAAAGGUAAUGAAGAUGAAGUUUUGGUUAUGGAA